rnacentral:rRNA from 1 species
GAUGAACGCUGGCGGCGUGCUUAACACAUGCAAGUCGAACGAUGAAAGCGGGAGCUUGCUCCUGCUGGAUUAGUGGCGAACGGGUGAAUAACACGUGAGCAAUCUGCCCCGAACUCUGGGAUAAGCGUUGGAAACGACGUCUAAUACCGGAUACGACGCGCGAAGGCAUCUUCUGCGCGUGGAAAGAAUUUCGGUUCGGGAUGAGCUCGCGGCUUAUCAGCUAGUUGGUGAGGUAAUGGCUCACCAAGGCGACGACGGGUAGCCGGCCUGAGAGGGUGACCGGCCACACUGGGACUGAGACACGGCCCAGACUCCUACGGGAGGCAGCAGUGGGGAAUAUUGCACAAUGGGCGAAAGCCUGAUGCAGCAACGCCGCGUGAGGGACGACGGCCUUCGGGUUGUAAACCUCUUUUAGCAGGGAAGAAGCGAAAGUGACGGUACCUGCAGAAAAAGCACCGGCUAACUACGUGCCAGCCGCCGCCGUAAUAC